ensembl:lncRNA
UCCAGUCGCCUGCGCGGUGAGGCUCUGGGGCCGCUGUGGAUCCCAAACGUGCCGCCUUUCUAAACUCCGGGCGUCCAGGUCCUGGCCCAGCGCCUCGCUGUGACCGUCCUGGAGACCCGUCUGCACAGAGGGCUCUCGGAGAGGGCCCAGGCCUCGCACUGCAGAGGGCCCGUGAGGACGCGCAGAGGAGGUGUCGCCUGCAGCCCGCGCGCGAGAGGCCUGGCCUCCUGCCCUGGCAGGGAACCAAGCGAGCCCCAAGCGGAUGCCGACGCGGGCCCAGGCCUGCGGAGCGUGCGUUGCUGUUCUGUGCGCCCCUGUGGCCACCCUCGCCGACCACGCACGCCCAAACCUUAGACGAGAAGCCAAGCCGCAGGCAGAGGAAGCCAAAGGCCACAGGAAUUUCACAGCCAGCACAUGGGUGGCAGCCGGUGCCGCACGACGGCAAGCAAAAGGAACACAGCAAGGAAUUGCGCCUCGUUUUCUGGAAUCCAGGCUGGACAGCAGCCAUCUCUCCCCUGAGUCCCCCUGAGGAGUCGUGGAGAGCAGCUCCAAGCAGGUUUCCGGUGGUGCGUCUCAAACCCAUGGACAGGAAGCUGAGGUCAUCAGUUGCUUUCUCAUUGCUGUCCGGGGCCACCUACCGCCUCUGCCUCCCGACUGGAUGGAGUUGCCUUUCCUGUAGCCAUCGCCGGUAGACUCCAGAGCCCUGUGGUGUUGGCACUGCCUCCUAUCUAGGGAGCAUCCCAGACCCAGCCUGGGGCUCUGACUCAGCUCUGACUCAGGCCCAGGCCUCAUGACUCCAGACUCCUUCUGCUGCUUCCUGCAUGGCUGGUCUGGAUGCACGUUCAGUGUGUGUGGAAAAUGCGGUGAUGGCCACUUGAACACACCGAGGUCAGCAGCCUGCAGGGCCCCCUGGGGACCCUACAGUCCGGUACUGGGCUUUGGUCCUAACUCUCCUCAGCCACCGGAGGGCACCCCGAAGAUCCACUUAGGAAUCGGCUUUUGCCAUUCACCACUGAGCAUCUCAAGGAAGAGAAUUUGAGGGUCAGGUUCUUCAGUACUUCUCCUUUCUGGGCAGCUGCAGACAGCAAUGGAGAACAAAAGUAGAAUCCAGUCUUGCUGAAUGUGCUAAGUGGUCAGCAGGCCAUGCAGGGCGCCCGAGGCUUCCCCCACCUGCAGCUCUGCUCCACCGGGCCCUGCCACCGUGAAGACUGCGCUGGAGCCAGUGGGCUGUGGACGGGACCCUCUGAAACUACUCUUGGCCGCUCUUUGGGAUCUUUCUCCGGCCCUGCCCCGCGUGUGUCCGAUCACCAUCAGAGUCCUCCUCUACUCCACACCAGCCCCUGCCCGUCCUCUUUCCCACGUGGGGGGAGCAGUGGAGGCUGCGUCAGCCAGAGUCAGGGCCCGGGAGGCCAAUCGCUGGGCAGCAGGGGAGACAGUGGAAAAUGGAAAAUGUCAGGGACGGAGCUGUAAUGUGAAGUGAAAUCUACCCGACACACACACGUGAACAUCACAGUUUCUCUUACACGAGAAACCCACAGUGUGACCAAAGAGCACAAUAAAAGACAGAUGAUCAGAAUCAGGGAGAUGGAAAUUUUGCAAAAGGGAAGGCACAUAAAGAAGUUAAUGUAUGUC